rnacentral:rRNA from 1 species
AUGCCUUCCUGGAACGACGAGGAAACAAGCUCCGACGAUGAUUGCGAGGUCGUCAGCAUGGACAUGGGAAUUAUGGAGGAACCAGACACCAUUGUUGAGCCCCUUUUCUGUGGACAACUUGAGCUUUCUAAACCCAAAUGCAUUCUGCACCACAUGAGGCCUAUUAAGUUAGUGGCUUUUGAAGGCCCUGAAAAUGGUGUGAAUUGUGGUGUUGUAGAGUGGGUUGAUGGGACUUGGCCUCCUGUUCUUCAGAGAUGUUUGUGCAAGCUAUGGGAAAUGUUCCAUGAGCAAAACUAUGGAAGGGUACUUGACAAGGAGAAGUCUGAGAAGGAGUUGGCCAAGGUUAAGACUGAAAAUGACAAGGAGGUGGACACGCUUAAGACUGAAAAUUACAAGCUUUGCAUUGAGUACACUAAGCUUGUUGAAGAUGUAUCCAAGAUGUUUGAUUGGCAGGAUGGUAGGGUGGACAGGAAAGGUGUACCAGGAACAAGUGGAGGAGGAAGAAUUUAA